rnacentral:rRNA from 1 species
UACGGAGGGUGCAAGCGUUGUCCGGAAUCACUGGGCGUAAAGGGCGCGUAGGCGGCUCGGUAAGUAGGGGGUGAAAUCCUGCGGCUUAACCGCAGGGCUGCCUUCUAAACUGUCGAGCUCGAGCACGGUAGAGGCAGAUGGAAUUCCCGGUGUAGCGGUGGAAUGCGUAGAGAUCGGGAAGAACAUCUGUGGCGAAGGCGGCCAUCUGGACCAGCACUGACACUGAGGCACGAAAGCGUGGGGAGCAAACAGGG